GUGCCAGCAGCCGCGGUAAUUCCAGCUCCAAUAGCGUAUAUUAAAGUUGUUGUGGUUAAAAAGCUCGUAGUUGAACCUUGGGCCUGGCUGGCCGGUCCGCCUCACCGCGUGCACUGGUCCGGCCGGGCCUUUCCCUCUGUGGAACCCCAUACCCUUCACUGGGCGUGGCGGGGAAACAGGACAUUUACUUUGAAAAAAUUAGAGUGCUCCAGGCAGGCCUAUGCUCGAAUACAUUAGCAUGGAAUAAUAAAAUAGGACGCGCGGUUCUAUUUUGUUGGUUUAUAGGACCGCCGUAAUGAUUAAUAGGGACAGUCGGGGGCAUCAGUUGUCAACUGUCAGAGGUGAAAUUCUUGGAUCAGUUGAAGACUAACUACUGCGAAAGCAUUUGCCAAGGAUGUUUUCAUUAAUCAGGAACGAAAGUUAGGGGAUCGAAGACGAUCAGAUACCGUCGUAGUCUUAACCAUAAACUAUGCCGACUAGGGAUCGGACGGUGUUAUUCAUGACCCGUUCGGCACCUUACGAGAAAUCAAAGUGCUUGGGCUCCAGGGGGAGUAUGGUCGCAAGGCUGAAACUUAAAGAAAUUGACGGAAGGGCACCACCAGGGGUGGAGCCUGCGGCUUAAUUUGACUCAACACGGGGAAACUCACCAGGUCCAGACACAAUAAGGAUUGACAGAUUGAGAGCUCUUUCUUGAUUUUGUGGGUGGUGGUGCAUGGCCGUCUUAGUGGUGGGUGACUUGUCUGCUUAAUUGCGAUACGAACGAGACUACCUGCUAAAUAGCCGCAUGCUCCGGCAGUGCGCUGGCUUCUAGAGGGACUUUCGGCUCAAGCCGGAAGGAAGUUUGGAGGCAAUAACAGGU
rnacentral:rRNA from 1 species